rnacentral:misc_RNA from 1 species
AAGUCGUAACAAGGUUUCCGUAGGUGAACCUGCGAACACGUAUCCAACGUUAAACCCCUGUGAACUUUUAGCACUGCUCUUGCAGCCCGUCUUCCUCCAGCAAUCCCUAGUAAAUCAUGGCGAACAGUUUGAUUUAGGGACUUCUGAGUCACGCGGUAGUGCCUUUGGUGAAUUGAAAAGUGUCAUCAGAGACCGGCGACGAGAAGGCCCUACGGCUUCACUGGAGGACAUCACGAGAUGCUCGGGUCCCCAUGCCCCCUUACAACCCCAUGUCUCGCAGCCGGGUCGCGAUAAUACGACCUAAAAAUAAAAACCGAACAACUGUUAACAAUGGAUAUCUUGGUUCUC